AAGUUUUUUAAGGAUAAGGGGAGUUAAUAUGUGAUGCUUUUAGAGCAUGGAUAAAGGGAGAUAGAGCAUCGAGGGCUUUCUGCUUUGAUAUUAUUUUUAAUAAUGAGACUUAUGAAUUGACCUAAGCUUUUGAAGGAUAAAGAGAGUUAAUCUGUGAUGCUUUUAGAGUAUGGAGGCUUUCCUGCUUCUCAUUAUUUUUAAUAAUGAGACUUCUUAAUGGACGAUGAACUCUUUUAUAUUUUGUCUAGCAUAUUUAAAGCUUUUAAGAUUCAUAUUGUGUAGUUUUUUUUUUUAUAUUAUUUACCUACUUGGAAGGUUUUUUUUUUUUGUUUUUUGAGAUAUAGGUAGCACGCUACCCGCUUCGUUUAUUUUAUUUAGAAAUAAACUUAGCUGGAAAUGUGAAUCAACUAGGAUUCGAACUUGGGACCUCGGAUACCGACGACCAAGCCCUUUGCCACUUGUUCUAGAGACAGUCGGUUACCUACUUGGAAGGUUGAAAACAAAAAAUUUCAUAAGAAGUGAUGAUAUAUAUCCAUAAAUUUUAAACCAAAGAUAUUGCUCUUAUAUUAGAUGGUAAGAAAAUAUAUAUUUGUCAAAAUUUUAUAUAAAAUACUGAACUUUGGCAAAUGGUUAAGAUUAUAGUAU
rnacentral:lncRNA from 1 species